UAUUCCCAUUUCCCCUCAACUUUCAAGUCUCCACUGGCAACAAAAAAGAAACGAAACCCUAGAAAAUUACCAGUGUUGGCGACCAAAGGUGACCCCUGCUUCAAUUUUACGAGGAGUGGAGUAAUGGAGUUAGUGAAGAAGGGAUACUGUGCAGAUAUUUCGUACACUGAUGGGAUUCACUUAAAGUACAAUCCAAGUUGUCUACUGAUGUUGUUCAUCGGGGGGGCUUCUAUAGUAGCUCAAGGUUCACUGCAGAACUGAAAUUGCUCAUCUUUAUUCCUCCAAACUAAAAAAAGAAGAAAAAAGUGGACAAUCUUCAUGUCCCUCUCACGGGUUCAAAGAUAAAAAGGUUCACCCUAACGAGUAGCAAAGACACCAACAAUUGUUGAGAGCUUAGCUUCACUCUCUGUACCACAUGGGAUCUAUCACAUGUGAUUGACAUCAUCAAAGGGAGUGGACACUGGAUGAGAAUACAUUGCAAUAUUGAUUGAAUUAUCUAAAGCAGCUGAUAGAUUUCUUUACAAGCUUCGCCUGCAGCACAAAAAGAGGACAUCAACUCAAUUACGGAUCAUCUUGCAAAGGAGGCUGGAAAUCAAAUUCAUGCCUUAACUGAAUCAGGACAUUAUAGAAAGGUCGGAACUGAAAAGGAGUACACCAUUAUGGGAUGAAUUAAAAAAAUUUAGUACCCUACAAGUAAUUGAGCUGCGACAACUGUGUUCAAGGUUCAUCAUUCCGCAGGUGAUGGAUAUUCAUUCAUGGGUGCCAUGUUUAACCGUUUACAAAGAGAUGAUUUCCUUCUCUCUAUGCAAUCUUAUGAUCACAUGAAUAAGAAGAACGUUUUGGAGUUUCUCCUGUUUUGAAGAACUGUAUAAAAUUUUUCUCGCAGAGGCUUUUCAAGAGUUGUGUGUUGAUAAAUCAUGUUAAUCCUAUUAUGUCAGGUAGAGAAGGAGGUGAAUUUAUGCGAGUUUCAAUCUGUACUGUCACUUCUCUCCUGAUCAAAGCUAAGAAAUCUAAGUCAAAGCUUGGUGAGGAAAAAUCAUUUUCUUUUUAUCGAGAUCUAAACGAAAUAUCAAGCUGGCUCUCCGCGGAUUGAGACUCACUUUGUGGUUUCUAUGUGGACUAUGGUAUGAUUAAGUUGGUUAUUAGUUGAGUUAUGGAGAUGGAUUUUUUUCAUUUGUCAUUAAGGGUCAUAUGUGAUGGUUAGCUGGAUGGGCUCAACCAAAAGAGGCUUAAAAAAAUUUGUUUCAGGACAUCAAGUUCAUUCUAGCCAUGCGUGUUAAUAAGGCUAAAGUACAUGCAUACAAAGUGUUGCUAUUCUAGAUUAAGUCACAAACUCCAGUAUGACUGUUUAAGUUAGCGAGGGAAUACAUUUCCCGUUUGUUGGAUUUGUUUGUUCAUGUCAGUGGAGGUACAUGCAAAUCAUCCAAUGAAUAAAAAUUGGAUGACGUGAUAAAAUUGAUGUCCGGGCAGAAAGAGAGAAUUCGAAACUUAUUGGUAGGGUAGGUUUUACUUUUGUAAGAGCAUGCCCUUCUAAGCAAGCACCGUAUGUCAACAACAAAAAAUAUAAAAUCUAAGUUAUUCUUUUCGGUGAUAGAAAGUUCAUCUAUCCACUUAUUACGGCACGGGUCAUAUCCUAGUAGGACAACAAAAACGGAAGAAGCUGGGGUGCAUUCCAUUUUGAAUUAUCAGAGAGCUGGUUCAGAUUCAUGCAUAAAAUAUAUAGACAAAUUGGAUUCCUAGUCUUAAGUAUUGUCAAAAUGAAUUUGUGACAUUGCGAUUAGAUUUUCUUAUUUGGAUGUUGUAAAAUGAAUAAGUGUGUUCGGGUUAUGCAGCCAUGGAUAUGUUGCAGCUUCACAUGCAUUAAGUGUUUACUAACUGUUUUUCAAAUUUGUAGCUGCAUAGUAG